rnacentral:rRNA from 1 species
GACGAACGCUGGCGGCGUGCUUAAUACAUGCAAGUCAACUUGACUUUAGAUAGCAAUAUCGAAAAGUAGGGUGGCGCACGGGUGCGUAACGCGUAGGUAAUCUGCCCUGAGGUCUGACAUAACCCGUCGAAAGGCGGGCUAACAUCAGAUGAUAUAUAAUCACGACAUCGUAGAAAAUAUCAAAUCUUCGGAGCCUUGGGAUGAGCCUGCGUCUGGUUAGGUAGUUGGCGGAGUAAUAGCCCACCAAGCCUACGAUCAGUAGCUGGUCUGAGAGGAUGAUCAGCCACACUGGAACUGAGACACGGUCCAGACUCCUACGGGAGGCAGCAGUAAGGAAUAUUGCUCAAUGGGGGAAACCCUGAAGCAGCAACGCCGCGUGAAGGAUGAAAUACUUUUGUAUGUAAACUUCUGUAAGAUGGGAAAAAUAUUCUCCUCGGAGAAUUGAUUGUACCAUCAGAGUAAGCCCCGGCUAACUACGUAGCC